GACGAACGCUGGCGGCGUGCCUAAUACAUGCAAGUAGAACGCUGAAGGAGGAGCUUGCUCUUCUGGAUGAGUUGCGAACGGGUGAGUAACGCGUAGGUAACCUGCCUGGUAGCGGGGGAUAACUAUUGGAAACGAUAGCUAAUACCGCAUAAGAGUAGAUGUUGCAUGACAUUUACUUAAAAGGUGCAAUUGCAUCACUACCAGAUGGACCUGCGUUGUAUUAGCUAGUUGGUGGGGUAACGGCUUACCAAGGCGACGAUGCAUAGCCGACCUGAGAGGGUGGGCAGCCACACUGAGAGUGGGACACGGCCCAGACGCCUACGGGAGGCAGCAGUAGGGAAUCUUGGGGAAUGGACGGAAGUCUGACCGAGCAACGCCGCGGGAGUGAAGAAGGUUGUCGGAUCGUAAAGCUCUGUUGUAAGAGAAGAACGAGUGUGAGAGUGGAAAGUUCACACUGUGACGGUAUCUUACCAGAAAGGGACGGCUAACUACGUG
rnacentral:rRNA from 1 species